UACGUAGGAUCCGAGCGUUGUCCGGAUUUACUGGGUGUAAAGGGUGCGCAGGCGGACUGGUAAGUCAGAGGUGAAAUCUCGUCGCUUAACGACGAAACUGCCUUUGAUACUAUCAGUCUUGAGUCCGGUAGAGAUCUGUGGAAUUCCGAGUGUAGCAGUGAAAUGUGUAGAUAUUCGGAAGAACACCAGUGGCGAAGGCAGCAGAUUGGGCCGGUACUGACGCUCAGGCACGAAAGCUAGGGGAGCAAACAGG
rnacentral:rRNA from 1 species